UCUGGCACAUGGUGGGACUAUUAG
rnacentral:misc_RNA from 1 species